rnacentral:rRNA from 1 species
UACGAAGGGGGCUAGCGUUGCUCGGAAUCACUGGGCGUAAAGCGCACGUAGGCGGCUUUUUAAGUCAGGGGUGAAAUCCUGGAGCUCAACUCCAGAACUGCCUUUGAUACUGAGAAGCUUGAGUCCGGGAGAGGUGAGUGGAACUGCGAGUGUAGAGGUGAAAUUCGUAGAUAUUCGCAAGAACACCAGUGGCGAAGGCGGCUCACUGGCCCGGUACUGACGCUGAGAUGCGAAAGCGUGGGGAGCAAAAGGG